AAGCGCAGGCUGUGCUGUCUGGUACCCCCAGCCCAUGAGCUGACUUUCACUGCAAGUUCCACGGCCUUUCUGCAAACUGCCUGUUCAGGGCUCCUGCUCAUGUCCCAUCCGCUUCCUGCUUCUUCUCACGGGUGGGCAAGAGUUCCUGGUGCUCAGCCUGCGAGCCACAGGCGUGUGAACUCAGGUUUUGUGCUAUGGCGCAGUGCACAGAACAUGGAAAUCACCAGCCCGACCGCACUAGGCACACAGUUCACAGCAUCAGGCGCAUUCACACUGGGGUUCGGCACCAUCACCAUCCACCCGAGGACAUCCGCAUCUUCAGCCCGCGCCUCAGUCCCCACUAGACAGCGGCUCCCAGCCCCUCGCCAGCCCAGGGUCCCACCACUCUACUUCCUUUCUCUGUGAUUUCACUCCUUUCGGAAUCGCGUAGGAGUGGACUUCAUGGUGUCUGUCCUUUUGAGACUGGGUGAAUUCACUCAUCACAGCAUCCUCAGCUCAUCCAUUGUGUAGUCCAUGUCAGAAUUUCCUUCCUGUCCAAAGCUGAGUAACCCUGUACUGUGUGGAUGGACUGUAGUUUGCUGACCCAUUCUUCUCUUAGACUCUUGGGUUGAGUUUAUG
rnacentral:lncRNA from 1 species